rnacentral:rRNA from 1 species
AUUCCAGCUCCAAUAGCGUAUAUUAAAGUUGUUGCAGUUAAAAAGCUCGUAGUUGAACUUCUGGCUAUUCUUCCUGCUGGCUUCGGUCGCUGUAAGAGUGGUCAUCCGCUUGGGAACUACGUUCGAACUUCACUGUUCGGCGUAAGGAACAGGCAUUUUACUUAGAAAAAAUUAGAGUGUUCAAGGCAGGCUAUCGCCCUGAAUACACAAGCUUGGAAUAAUGAAAUAGGACUAUUUCCAUUUUAUUGGUUAUUGGAAUUAGUAGUGAUUAAUAGGGACAGUUGGGGACAUUAGUAUUUAAUUGUCAGAGGUGAAAUUCUUGGAUUUAUUAAAGACUAACUUAUGCGAAAGCAUUUGUCAAGGAUGUUUUCAUCA